rnacentral:lncRNA from 1 species
UAUUGCUCAUCCUCUUCCCUGGAAAUGUGCGGUUUCACAGGAUGGUAAACAUCUUUCCCUGGAACAGAGCCUUGAGGAUGCUAUGGUGCAGUAUGAUGACCACCAUCCCAGUCUGCCAAGGAAUGAGUAACUUCCUGCAAUUUAGGACUUUCGGCCCUAAAACCAGUACAGUCCUGGACACACUAAGAUUGUUGGUCACCCUAGAAGAAUGGAGAUCUGGCGGCUACCACUCACAUAUACUCGUAGAACAUUGAUUGCAAGGUAACUUACUGGCUGAAGCAGGUGAUGCAUUGCUUCGGUGGGGCUGAUGUCGAAAACCUUCAGCUUCCCAAGACAACACUGAUCAGGCCUCCAGGAGCAUUUCUCCUGCUCAGUGUCACAGGUGGCACAAAGACGGACUGAAAGGCUAGAGUAGGAAGAAGGGGCAUUGCUUCUUCCAGUUUGCUCACUGUUCUUCCAGAAUUACUGUAGCCACGGUGGUUUGUGCCAGAAGCACAGUUGGCCCAUGUUCAGGUUUUUUUUCCCACAUUCUCAGAAGCAGCCUCAGAGACACCAGGCAUGGCCCAUCAGCACCCUCCUCAGAGACCUGAGUUCAGCAUUGUGGGAGCCCCUCCAAGCUCCUGAGACACCAGCACCAUCUGGCAAACACUCCGUUUCAGAUGUCUGGGUCUUACCUCUCAGGAAACAGAGCGACCUCAGGGCAAGGGACCACGAGAAAUGAAGACAUUCCCUAGGUAUCUGAGAGCUGGCAAUCAAAAGCUGAUGGAGGAUGCUUCAGUAUUUCAACUAUAUGCAAGAACUGAUCAAGACGCCAUAAAGUGCAACUUGGAGCAACUGCAGACCAUGAAAUCGAAUAUUUUCUACAAAUAACAAUAAAGAAAUGAAAUAUAGCAUGCGGAAGGGUGUAGGAACAUAAAACUGCAUGGACAAAGAAGAGAAUCCGUGGAUCACGCAGAAACAAUAUAAGAGACAAAAGUGGAACUUCUGCAGUCCCAGCUACUCAGAAGGCUGACGCAGGAGGAUCGCUUGAGCCCAGGAGUUUGAGCCUGCAGCGAGCUAUGUUCAUACCACUGCACCCCAGCCUGAGUGACAGAGUAAAACCCUGUCUCUAAAAAAGAAAAAAAAAA